GGGUCCGGACACACUGAGGAUUGACAGGCAAUUAUUGCUAACAGUUUCUUUUUUUUUUAAAAGUACUGUUGCAACAACAAAUAUGCUAGUCCUUUCAUGAUUAUGUGAUAGGUGGUGCAUGGCCGUUCUUAGUUCGUGGAGUGAUCUGUCUGCUUAAUUGCGUUUCAUUAUGGACCAUGUUAUAACAUGUACUAUCUCUUGAUUUUCAAAUUUUCAUUUAUUUGAGAUUUGUUAUAAAGAAGGAGUUUUGGUGCAAUUGGUCCUGAAAGCAACGAACGUGACCGCAUCCUCUUGUUGCCUUUUUAACUUGGCAUUUUUUUUAAUUUAUUUUAACAUUUUUGUCAUAACAUAAGAGGCUUUCAGAAAACUAGAGGGACCGCUGCGACUUUUUUAAACCAGAGGAAGGUUGCGGCAAUAACAGGUCUGUGAUGCCCUUAGAUGUUCCGGGCUGCACACGCGCUACAAUGAUUAUUGCAGUGAGCAUCUCAUUUUAUUUUUUGUGCUUGUCUUGUCUGCGAGUUUAUUCUCAACGACGACAGCCUUAGCCUGCUUCGAAAGUUCGCAGGU
rnacentral:rRNA from 1 species